AGAGUUUGAUCCUGGCUCAGGACGAACGCUGGCGGCGUGCCUAACACAUGCAAGUCGAACGAGAAUCUUUGGAAUGAUUCUUUCGGGAUGAAUUCCAAAGAGGAAAGUGGCGGACGGGCGAGUAACGCGUGAGUAACCUGCCCAUAAGAGGGGGAUAAUCCAUGGAAACGUGGACUAAUACCGCAUAUUGUAGUUAAGUUGCAUGACUUGAUUAUGAAAGAUUUAUCGCUUAUGGAUGGACUCGCGUCAGAUUAGAUAGUUGGUGAGGUAACGGCUCACCAAGUCAACGAUCUGUAGCCGAACUGAGAGGUUGAUCGGCCGCAUUGGGACUGAGACACGGCCCAGACUCCUACGGGAGGCAGCAGUGGGGAAUAUUGCGCAAUGGGGGCAACCCUGACGCAGCAACGCCGCGUGCAGGAAGAAGGUCUUCGGAUUGUAAACUGUUGUCGCAAGGGAAGAAGACAGUGACGGUACCUUGUGAGAAAGUCACGGCUAACUACGUGCCAGCAGCCGCGGUAAUACGUAGGUGACAAGCGUUGUCCGGAUUUACUGGGUGUAAAGGGCGCGUAGGCGGACUGUCAAGUCAGUCGUGAAAUACCGGGGCUUAACCCCGGGGCUGCGAUUGAAACUGACAGCCUUGAGUAUCGGAGAGGAAAGCGGAAUUCCUAGUGUAGCGGUGAAAUGCGUAGAUAUUAGGAGGAACACCAGUGGCGAAGGCGGCUUUCUGGACGACAACUGACGCUGAGGCGCGAAAGUGUGGGGAGCAAACAGGAUUAGAUACCCUGGUAGUCCACACCGUAAACGAUGGAUACUAGGUGUAGGAGGUAUCGACCCCUUCUGUGCCGCAGUUAACACAAUAAGUAUCCCACCUGGGGAGUACGACCGCAAGGUUGAAACUCAAAGGAAUUGACGGGGGCCCG
rnacentral:rRNA from 1 species